rnacentral:rRNA from 1 species
AUGGGAAAAUGCUGGGAGGCAGAUCCUUUAACCUUCUUUCAGAGGAGAUUAAGUAAUGAGCUCAAGGAGCAAUGGCAGCUGGUGGUCGCCGCUGCUAGAGGUAGUUGUGUAUCUGAUGAAUUAGAUUAUAUUAAGUGGGGCCUGGGUCCCAAAAAAGUCUUUACAACCAAAUCGGAUUAUUCUUUCUUGGAAAGAAACAUCACAGGGUGCAAUUUUGUGUGGGUUUGGAAAGCUGGCAUUCCUUUAAAGAUUAAAUUUUUUAUGUGGCAGCUUUUCCAGGAUGCUAUCCUUACUCGGGAGGUGAUGAAAAAAAGAGGGUGGAAAGGAAGCCCGAAGUGUUCAUUCUGUGGAGAGAAUGAGACAUCUCAGCAUCUCUUCUUUACCUGUCCUAUAGCUAGGGUGACUUGGAGAUGUGUUGCCUAUAUGCUCAGCACUGAUCUGUGCCCAAACAGUUUAUCGCAUGCUUACUCCUGGUGUUAUGCUUACUUCCCAAGUGGGGAGACUUUCUACACAGUUGGCAUAGCUGCUCUGUGCUGGGCUAUUUGGACAUGUCACAAUGGUUCUACGUUCGAAUCUAAACGUUUGCAAACACCUUUUGAAUGCUGCUUCUCUAUGUGUGCUUUUCUUGAUUACUGGGCAGGACUGUUGAAGCAAGAGGAUGCGGUGGACCUGCGAGCAGGUGUGGACAUGCUGAAGAAUAGUGCAUCGAGGCUGAUGCGCAUCUGCGCUGCAAAUGAAGACUGA